AUUGAACGCUGGCGGCAUGCUUUACACAUGCAAGUCGAACGGUAACAGGCCUUCGGGCGCUGACGAGUGGCGAACGGGUGAGUAAUGCAUCGGAACGUGCCCAGUCGUGGGGGAUAACGCAGCGAAAGCUGUGCUAAUACCGCAUACGAUCUGUGGAUGAAAGCGGGGGACCUUCGGGCCUCGCGCGAUUGGAGCGGCCGAUGUCAGAUUAGGUAGUUGGUGGGGUAAAGGCUCACCAAGCCAACGAUCUGUAGCUGGUCUGAGAGGACGACCAGCCGUACGAGGACGGCGACACGGCCCAGACUCCGCCGGGAGGCAGCAGUGGGGAAUUUUGGACAAGGGGCGCAAUCCUGAUCCAGCAAUGCCGCGUGCAGGAAGAAGGCCUUCGGGUUGUAAACUGCUUUUGUACGGAACGAAACGGUCCUGGUUAAUACCUGGGGCUAAUGACGGUACCGUAAGAAUAAGCACCGGCUAACUACGUGCCAGCAGCCGCAGUAACAC
rnacentral:rRNA from 1 species